GAAUUCGCCCUUAGAGUUUGAUCCUGGCUCAGGACGAACGCUGGCGGCGCGCCUAACACAUGCAAGUCGAACGAGCGAGAGAGAGCUUGCUUUCUCGAGCGAGUGGCGAACGGGUGAGUAACGCGUGAGGAACCUGCCUCAAAGAGGGGGACAACAGUUGGAAACGACUGCUAAUACCGCAUAAGCCCACGGGCCGGCAUCGACCAGAGGGAAAAGGAGCGAUCCGCUUUGAGAUGGCCUCGCGUCCGAUUAGCUAGUUGGUGAGGUAACGGCCCACCAAGGCGACGAUCGGUAGCCGGACUGAGAGGUUGAACGGCCACAUUGGGACUGAGACACGGCCCAGACUCCUACGGGAGGCAGCAGUGGGGAAUAUUGCACAAUGGGGGAAACCCUGAUGCAGCGACGCCGCGUGGAGGAAGAAGGUCUUCGGAUUGUAAACUCCUGUUGUUGGGGAAGAUAAUGACGGUACCCAACAAGGAAGUGACGGCUAACUACGUGCCAGCAGCCGCGGUAAAACGUAGGUCACAAGCGUUGUCCGGAAUUACUGGGUGUAAAGGGAGCGCAGGCGGGAAGACAAGUUGGAAGUGAAAUCUAUGGGCUCAACCCAUAAACUGCUUUCAAAACUGUUUUUCUUGAGUAGUGCAGAGGUAGGCGGAAUUCCCGGUGUAGCGGUGGAAUGCGUAGAUAUCGGGAGGAACACCAGUGGCGAAGGCGGCCUACUGGGCACCAACUGACGCUGAGGCUCGAAAGUGUGGGUAGCAAACAGGAUUAGAUACCCUGGUAGUCCACACCGUAAACGAUGAUU
rnacentral:rRNA from 1 species